GCCAUAUCAUGUUGUAACAUUGGUUCCUAUCUGAUCACCAAAGUUAAGCAAUGCUGAGCCUGAUCAGUACCUAGAUGGCUUACCGCUUGAGAAUACCAAGUGCUGUAA